AUGAAAUAUUUUAAGAUAUAAAAUCUGUUUUAAUCUUGUAUGAAAAAGUUUGUUUUUACACAGUGUAUUAAAAUAGUUGAUCUGUAUUUAGCAAAAAAAAAGAAUUGGAACUUAGAAAAGGUAUCAAAGGUCUCCGAUUUUCCCUGAUUUUUUCUAAUUUUCAAUGAUAAAAAAUUUCCUGAUUUUUUCUAAUAUUCAAUGAUAAAAAAUAUUGACUCUUUUGAAUUAACUUUUAUUUUAGCGGCAAUAAAGCAACAGAUUGUUAAAAAUAUUUCAUUUUAAUUUUAGAAUUAGCCAAUUAGUUUUAAGCUAAAUGCUAUAAUAUUGCCUAUGUUUCUUUAAAAUUUGUAAUUUUUAGCUCGCAAAAGAGAGGAGCUUGCUAAAAGAAAGGAAAUUCUUGCAUCUUCAACGUCAUCACUGCCAUGUGGCACCCAGAGUGGAAACCGAAAAAAGCCUUGGCUUGCCUAGGAGUGAUUUUUUGGUUUGGCACCGCAGUCACCCUGGGUCUUAAUGAAAAAGGGCUUUCUGUAUAUGGGCCCAGAAUGGAGGUAAAGAUCUGCCUCAUUUUAAAUACAAACCUCCUGGUGGCAGAAAGGAUGGCAGAUAAAUCAGGAAUGGUGACGUUUUCAACAACUACAGAUAUACUUAUUAAUAAGUGCAUGCAGAUUCACUUUUUAGUGAAUCUAUAUACACCUAUUAAUAGGUGUAUGUAUAGUGUGUAUGUAUAUAUUGAUUACGUUUUUAUUUGUAUAUAGUCUUUUUGUAUUUUAAGUUUUUGUAUAUAGU